rnacentral:rRNA from 1 species
UACGGAGGGGGCUAGCGUUGUUCGGAAUUACUGGGCGUAAAGCGCACGUAGGCGGCUUUGUAAGUUAGAGGUGAAAGCCCAGAGCUCAACUCUGGAACUGCCUUUAAGACUGCAUCGCUUGAAUCAUGGAGAGGUUAGUGGAAUUCCGAGUGUAGAGGUGAAAUUCGUAGAUAUUCGGAGGAACACCAGUGGCGAAGGCGACUAACUGGACAUGUAUUGACGCUGAGGUGCGAAAGCGUGGGGAGCAAACAGG